UACAGAGGGUGCAAACGUUGCUCGGAGUUACUGGGCGUAAAGCGCGUGUAGGCGGUGCCGCACGUCCGGUGUGAAAGCCCAGGGCUCAACCCUGGAAGUGCACUGGAUACGACGGCGCUGGAGUCCUGAAGAGGAGGGCGGAAUUCCCGGUGUAGAGGUGAAAUUCGUAGAUAUCGGGAGGAACACCCGUGGCGAAGGCGGCCAACUGGGCCGACCCUGACGCUGAGGCGCGAAGGCGUGGGGAGCGAACGGG
rnacentral:rRNA from 1 species